rnacentral:lncRNA from 1 species
CUAUAUGGAAAUCUUCAUUUGGUGGAUCUGGCUGGAAGUGAGAGAGUAGAUCGAUCUGAAGUUAAAGGAGACAGACUUAGAGAAGCACAACAUAUAAACAAAUCUCUCUCAUCUCUUGGAGAUGUGAUAUUCUCUCUUGCUUCAAAGAGUUCCCAUAUACCUUACAGAAACAGCAAGCUAACACAACUACUCCAAAGCUCUCUUGGUUAGUUACUUAUUCAAAUUGAUGUUUUAGUUUCUCAGUUUAACUGAUCUAAUCAUAAACAAAUACUUUGUGAUGUUGGAGUAUAGGAGGACAAGCAAAGACCCUAAUGUUUGUGCAACUCAAUCCUGAUGCUAUUUCAUAUUCAGAGUCUAUGAGUACCUUAAAAUUCGCAGAACGUGUCUCUGGAGUUGAACUUGGUGCUGCAAAGAGCAGUAAAGAUGGUAAAGAUGUUCAAGACUUAAUGGAACAGGUAAGUUCGAGACUUACAUCUUUCUUACCAUGAGCCGGUCUUGAAAUUUGGAGAAUGUAAACAAAAACAAAAUUAGUUAAAUUUUAAUUAUAAAAAAGAAUUGGGGCAUAUCAUUAUAGACAUUACGGCUAAAAAAAUUAAAAGUCAUAAGCCAAUUUUCGCUUGCCUAUGCUUAGAACCGGAUGUGCAUACCAUAAGCAAUUACAUUUACAUGAAUCAUUUGUUUUGUUUACAACAGUUAGCAUCCCUUAAGGACACAAUAGCAAGGAAAGAUGAAGAGAUAGAGAGGCUUCAUUCGGUAAAAGACAUUCAUCAUCCUCAUAGACUUCAGAAAACAAUGGUGAAGAUAAAGAGCUUAGGACAAACCGAUGACAUAAACUCAGAAACAGGAGAAUAUUCAUCACAGUCAAGACACGCCAUUACUGACGGCGAGAGUUUAGCUUCCUCCGUCGAAGCAGAGUCUGAGGAGAGAUUGAGCGAAGUGACAUCUGAUGCUGCCUCUAACGGAACUCAAGGAUCACCUGAUGUUGCUAAAAGACCACCCAGGAUUUCAGACAGGUUAAGACUCAAACUUAUAAUGUUGUUGUGGUUUUCAAGAGUUCUUUACCUAACGCUGUAAUGGUGGAUGAAAUUACAGAGGGAAGUCAACGCCUUCAAGGUCCUCGGUUGUAACACGACCACUUGAUAAGCUUCGGAAAGUAGCUACAAGAACAACAUCGACAGUUUCU